GGCCUGGAGCCAUGCACUCAGGGAGCUUUCAGGAAUACCAGAUGCAGGAAUUCUGCAGAAGAGCAGGCUCAGCUACCUGGAUCCCUGAGAGGCCCAUAGGAGCAUACAGUCUAGCGAUGGAAGCAGCAGGCAUGGAGCAGGAGCAUAGCUUGGCCCUGGCUCAGAUGAUCAAUGACCAGACAGGUAUCCUGCACGCCCAUCUCUUGGACACAACUUUAUGG
rnacentral:lncRNA from 1 species